rnacentral:rRNA from 1 species
CCCUUAGACACUCUAGGCGGCACGCGCGCUACAAUGGGCGGGAGAACGUGUUACUGCCACUGAACAGUGGGGUGAAUCACGAAUCCUUGCCCGUGAAUGGGAUAGUUUGUUGCAAUUUUCGGACUUGAACUAGGAAUCCCUUGUAAGCAUGCUCAAGAAUAGCGUGUUGAAUACGUCCCUGCCGUUUGUACACACCGCCCGUCGUUUCUUCCGACUGAUACUCAUUGUGAGUUGCAAGGAUCCUUUAUUGGAAAAUUGCCGCGAAUGCUUUGUAUUGGAGGAAGAAAAAGUCGUAACA